rnacentral:rRNA from 1 species
GGACCCGCACAAGCGGUGGAUGAUGUGGUUUAAUUCGAUGCAACGCGAAAAACCUUACCCACCUUUGACAUGGCAGGAAGAUUCCAGAGAUGGGAUUGUGCCCGAAAGGGAACCUGCACACAGGUGCUGCAUGGCUGUCGUCAGCUCGUGUCGUGAGAUGUUGGGUUAAGUCCCGCAACGAGCGCAACCCUUGCCAUUAGUUGCUACGAAAGGGCACUCUAAUGGGACUGCCGGUGACAAACCGGAGGAAGGUGGGGAUGACGUCAAGUCCUCAUGGCCCUUAUAGGUGGGGCUACACACGUCAUACAAUGGCUGGUACAGAGGGUUGCCAACCCGCGAGGGGGAGCCAAUCCCAUAAAGCCAGUCGUAGUCCGGAUCGCAGUCUGCAACUCGACUGCGUGAAGUCGGAAUCGCUAGUAAUCGCGGAUCAGAAUGUCGCGGUGAAUACGUUCCCGGGUCUU